AGGACUGCUAAUUCCUAUGUAGGUGACAUUACAUUACUGCUAAUUCCUAUGUAGGUGACAUUACACUACUAUAGCUGAGACACAUAGUAAAACAGGUUGGGCCCCAUACAGGAUAUCUCUCACACACACACACUCACUGUAAUCAUCCAGAACACUGUCACAACAGGAUACUCCUAGCCACAGGUGCUAGCCGGCAGUUCGGCCACAACUCCCCUGAAGAUAGGGACGCAUACGCUCUUACACACUGACCCCAGAAGACAGGGACGACGCACAUACAGUACACACAUAGCUGCCGAGGACACCCAGAUAAGACACCCACAGAUUGGCAGAAAGCCUAGACUUAGAGACAAACUAACACACACACAUAAUCUCCCUCCCAGCCGAACAUUGUGUGACUGAAGAUAGCGCACACACCAGAUCUCCUUUUCAGCUGAACGGGGUGUGACGACCAAGAACAGGCAUGGCAGGAUUCUACGAUGACGGACAGACAACAGAGCCAAUGCCGGAUGACUACACCCCAGCCUGAUCCAAUCCGAAGAUCCAAUCUCCUAGAUAUCAACCCACUUUCUGUUCUGUAUAUGAAGCUUGUACCCAUUGUUAGCUAGUGUCUUUUUUGCUAGUCUCUGAUGAGCUAACAGAGGGGCCCGUAUAUACGCUGUACCAGAUAUCUCCACUUUGAAAUAAACCUGUCGCUUGUCGUACAAUCUACCACCUUGUCUGCAUCGAUCCUUGACCGACUCACCCUUUAUCAUAUCCCAUUAUCAACAGAAAUGGUAGCAGAGGAUGGUUAAAUAACGAUCCAUCAAAGUGAGUUGAUUUGGGUGUGAGAGGGAGAGAGGGUGAAAGGACGAUUCACAGAGGACAGAGGUGAAGGAAUUCGGGGGAGGACAACAAUUCUGCUCAACUCGGUAAACUGAUCACAAGGCGCACCACAAACAAGGUAAGCAAAACCUGUUAAAUCAAACUUUGCAUAUUUUCGUAUAGUCUUGUCUAAAUUUUGAUCAGUAUUACCGAGUGAGUAUGAAUUCUUGUGUAAAUUUAUAAUUUGCUGACAAGUUGAAAGUACAGUAAAGUGAAUAUAUGUGGUGACAAACCGGUGACGACCGGGUGAUCUAAAUCAUUGAUGAGAUAUCAGUAGGGGGUCAGCACAGUCUGAUAGCUUUCAAUGAUGAGAGAUCACUUUAAGGCCUAGGAUAGUCUCGAUAGGGAUCAGGAAUAGAGAUCAGUAGGGGAUAGUUAACUACUAUUCAUUAAACCUGGCGCCGAGGGGGACAAAUUGUAAUUUUGUCCUGUGGCCCGGUCUAGGCCAGUCUGAUAAGAGAUUCUCUGAUAAGGAUCGGACAUGUGUAAUAAACUCUGAUAGGGGUCAGCUCGAUAUAGAUCAGGAAUAGAGAUCAGUAGGGGAUAGUUAACUACUAUUCAUUAAACCUGGCGCCGAGGGGGACAAAUUGUAAUUUUGUCCUGCGGCCCGGUCUAGGCCAGUCUGAUAAGAGAUUCGCUGAUAAGGAUCGGCUUUCAGGGGUCAGAGAUAUAACGUGUUGUUUUGUCUUGUUUUGUCUAUUUGUAACUGUUUAUAUUAAAAUGCAAUGUGCUUGUAAUUGUUUCCAUUAAGAUUGUUGGUGGUUAGAUAGAGAGAGAAUUCAAUAAGGGUUAUUUGAUAAAUCCGAAACUUCUAUGUUGUAUGUACCUAUGACUUCUGUGUUAAAUGUAUAAUCAGGAACAAAAUGACUGAUGUAUAAUUGAAAUAAGAUCUGAGCACAAUAUUCAAUAUCAAGACUAAAUAGUCGAAUUGAUCUCUAUACAAACCCAUGCGUUUUUCUCAAACUGAAUAUACGAGGAGCAGCUCUGAGAUAAGGCAGAGUACGUGGCUCCAGGAAUUCAUCACGGGUAUUUACCAGUGACGGGCUAAGUAUACUCAGAUAGUCUGAAUAUAUAUUUCAAUUGGUCAAAAUAUACAUAUAUAUUUACUAAAAUAUACAAUAAAUGACAAAUGGUGACCCCGACGUGGUCUGGUAAAAGGACAUCGCUGGACAUUGGUGUGCCAGCCGAUUGGCCAGUACUGUCGUCGGACGGUGUGUCUCACAAAUCUUGACCGGUCAAAUAAAAAGGGUAAGCAGUGUUGUGAAAAACUAAAGUUCUGCACAUUGGAGUUAUCCAAAUUUAGUUUUGUGAGAUACCUGUUUGAUGUAAGUUACUAAAUUUAAACUACAAUGAUGUGUGAGAUUGGAAAAUAGUUGAGAAAGUAAUAUCUCCAUUGGCAACUGCAAUUUUAUUAUUGAUCAACCAUACUUAAUGGUGCAUUGUGUAUGGGAUGUACUAGUAUGCCUGGCUGGUAGGUGGUAACAGAGAACACUUACUACAUGUAUGAAUGAUGGGUAACGGGUGGCCACCAAAGCUUGAAUGGAUAGUCUGGGACUACAUGUAUGAGUGGUGGGUAACGAGUGAUAAUUGGGGGCCGAUUUAGCCGUAGGGAAAGGGUAUCACUUGGGUUUCAGUAAAGGCAUGGGUUGUUGGCAGUAUUGUAGUGUACAUGGAAUGUCGUUGGAAAUGGAAAAGGUGUUGAGAGCGCUGAAGUCCACUCUAGGAUUAAAUAAAGGCAGAGAGGGCAAGGAGUGGAGGAGACGGGGUGAGAAGCUGUACAGAGAAUGGACAGAAGGUGGGGCUAUUGCAUCUCCUACUGGUCUGCUUGCUGGGGAGAAUGAAGAUUUGUAUGUGGAAGAUUUGUGGAGCUGGUACCGGUGAGAAUGUUGAAAAAGUCGCAGGCUUGCUGAUGAGAGUUAUAUCAUAGAAUAUUGGGGGGUGUGCAUGACUGUUGGAAAAGGUGUUAAACUCUAUUAACGUAAAAUUCUGUGUGUAGAGUUAUGAGGUUUGAACUAUACUAAUAUUGUAGAAUUACAUAAUCAACAUCUGAACAUACUUACGAUAAACAUUAAUUGAGCCACUGAGUAAUAGAUAAGAUAUACACUAGGUAAGGGGCGACGGGCGUGGUCGAUGUAAGACGGGAGUGGUGUUCUAACCAAGUGCUGAGAAAUAAGGUAGAUUUAUUUUGUUCUUUUAAUUAGUUUACACAAGUUCUUCCCGGUUAUUGAUUUUGGUUUGAUUGUUCAGAUAAAACCACUGAAAUUAAACAGGAGGUUAAGGUAGACUAACAUUAGAAUCUGUUUUCAUUAUGGGGAACAAUGAAAGGCCCGCAGAGGGGAUUGCAGGCUGAGGUUUUUAUGUUAAAGGAACAGUGCACGUUUAUCACAGUUGUUUGUGUGUAUAAUGGCUGGGUAUCUAAGAAGUAUUUUUGGAGAGACAAUUUGGAGAAACACGAAUAAAACAUGAAACACCGAGACAAAUUAUUUGAGUUUGAGGGGAUUAUCAUAAUUAUUAGGUUUUGUUUUUGUAGUAAACGUUUGGGUUAAGGGGAUUUUCACGUUCCCAGAGACAUGGUAUUUUACAGAUAGGGGAAAAGGCAGACGGAGGGGCCCUCCGCCCGCACUGCAGAGACCUUGAAAGUUGGAGAGAGCAGAGGAGAGGUUUUGGAAAAGGGGGGGGCAGGACAGGCAAAGAUAACAGUUGCUGAGUGGAGACAGGGGAGAGAGUUAGACAUGUGGAAAAUGAUGGGGGCGCUCCUUCAUGAUGAUGUCAGACAUAAGGAUAAUAUACUAAUCUUACCUAAGUCAUGAUUUAGAGUAGGUAAGGUUGUUACCUGGGCAGAGCCAGGUAUCAAAAGGGGGAUGGGUAAAUGUGGUCUAGGAUAGGAUGGGGCCGAUUGGAUAAGAAACUAAUAAUUAAAAAAAAUAUAUAUGUAAGCUAACAAUUGGGCAUAGAAGUUAAAGAUAUAAUCAGAUAAAACAUAUGAGAAAUUGUUUGUUAACCAAGCCUGUAUGUCCAGGAUUUUAUGCAUUACAGGUGAACUACAGGUGAAGUCACUCAAUCCAGUCCCAGAGGCUUGGGGACCAUAGAUGACCCCUGGUGACAGCUAGCUGAAAGAGCUACCCAGAUUCAUAUCGCACGGCGGAAGGGUAAGACACAUUUUUUCACUGUCGGACAUUAAAACAGUGUUCGAGAGAAGAACUGGAAUUAACAGAAUUCCGGGGGCCAACUCUCGAAUGAAGUAACCCUACCUGUCCUAUCACCCCUGUUUUUGUUCAUAGAAGUGAGGAUGUGUCUGGCUCUGGCUAAGUGAUGUGUAUUUUGUUCCAAAAUGAGCAUAAGAGAUCCCUAGAUCGGGGUAGACAAGUUAGAGUAGAGAUUACAUGAUAACCGACUUCGGACAGUUCUAGGAUUGGAGAAGAGGGUAUCCUUAUAGCAAGGGGGAUCCCACAAGGGUGGAUAGGUUUUCCAUGAUAUGGGGAAACCUGGGAGCAAUGUUGAACUUUGUAAAGGUGAUGAAAUCCUACUAACCAUCAAAACUAUUAAGCUCUCUGAUGCAGGCACUCACACCCUCGGACUACAAAGGACGAGGACAGACAUGAUGGGUGUGUUUUCUAUUAAGGUACUGCCAAGACCAGAGGUAGCCGGACACACUCCUCUACCACCACUGUGUUAAAAAUACCAUUCAGGUAAUUAAUGUUAGAGACUAUUCGGCUAUUGAUCAAUUAGGAACUGAGACUGGUUUUGAUAGUAGGGACAAUUUGUGGCUGUCUUAUAUGAGGUACACAGCUAAAACCCUGAGAGGAAAGGACUGCAUUAUUUGUAGUCAUGCUAGACCUGUUCUGGCUACACACCCAUUUGCUGUAGGAGAAGGAGAGGGGUGGUUGUGUAUUCUGAGAAGUUUUUACCAGGUUAAGCCCAAUUCAACCCUCUGUUCCUCUUUGAGCCUUGUGUUUCCUGCAGUACCUCCUCAUCAGGCCUCUUGGGGUGUUGAGGCAUAUGGGGGCAAUCAAGAGUGCAUCACGGGUACAGGUAAUGGCAUUGAUUAUGGGGGAUUGCCUGAAGCUGAUUGCAGUAGUAACAUAACCAUUAAUUCCACUUGGCCAGUUACAGGCUGAUGUGAGGUGGAUGAGUGGAGCCAAGAGUGCUGAGACCCAUUCUUAGAGGAGAAUGGCAAGGUACGUGUGCUCUGACCAGUUUGAUAAUUCCACUGACCAUUGUUGAUGUUACUGCUGAACAGCUGUUGGGUUCUGUAUCCAAGGGACCUGAAAACAUUCCAUCCCAUGGGAGACAUAGACGUAGCGCUCAGAGAAUGUAGUUGACAUAAACACUAACCUGUUGGGUGUGCCAGUGGGGGUUCCUCAUGAGUUUCAGGCCUUGGGUAGGAAUGAUGGACUCUGGCACUUACUACCUACUAUGGGUCCAGCCAUGGUGGAUGCUAGACAGACUGCAUGGAUUAAUUAUAUCUACUAUAAUCAACAGCGGUUUGUGAAUUACUCCGUGAUGCACUCACUGGUAUGUCUGAACAGCUUGAGGCCACAUUUGGGGUUUCCAGACAGAAUAGACUUGCCUUGGAUAUGCUUCUUGCCAGUCAGGGGACGUUUGCAAGAUGUUCGGUAAACAAUGUUGCACGUAUAUUCCUAAUAAUACCAGUCCAGAUGAUAUCUAGGGCGGGCUUGAUGCACUAUCUGAUAAGAUGAGGUCCACGGGGGGGGGGGGGAGGAGUCUGUUCUCUUGGCCUGGUUUGGUAAGUACACUGAUAUGAUGGUUACUGGAUUUCUGACCCUAAUUCUUGUAUUAUUUGUUAUUGAUGUGAUGUGCUGCUUGCAUCAUACCGUGUUCUAAGAAAUAUGUUACAGAUAUGGCGAAGGCUUCAGGCAUGUUGCCUUUGCUUGAUGCUCCAGUUGGAGAUGCCGAUACGGAAGCAUGCUUUCAGGAGAGGAUGGGACUGACUGAGGAUGACCCAUGGUAUGCUGUGGGUGAGGUAGUAGAAUAAUUUUACACCACCACAGUUCCUUGUUAUAAAAUUUUAUGAUAGGUUUUCUUUCCAGUAUGUUUGUUCUCCCUGUUGUAAAGGUUUAGAGUCCCUGGGUGGCAAGGAGCCCACCUGAUACAGGAUAGAAGUAGCUGAGAGGACCAGAUGGUUUCUAAUAAUUCUUUCCUCUGUUUUCCAUGACCAAAGUUUUAUCCUACAUCUUACAUGUCAAUAACAAUAAAGUUUUAUCCUGUUUUUGAUAAGUGACACCCUUGUGGGUGUCAAAAGGGGGAAACGCAUAUAACAAUAGACAUAUAUCACUUGUUAUUAAUAAUAAACUUUUUAUUAUUUUCAUGAAAUGCUAUGACUGCUGAAAUAAAGGAUAAUGAGUGUCAAAGGGGGACUUAAAUUUCACACCUUUGGGGUUAUUUUACAUUAUAGCCAUUACCAUAUAUAUUAUCUGCUGUUGCCUUGGGUGGAUGUGUGUAUGUGUUAUGUUCUCUAGCUGAUUUGAAACAUUGUUGAAAGUAUCAGGGCCAUGGAACUUUCUCAUGCUGGGAAAAUACAGAAGGGAGGGCACAUUCAGAGCGUGGGGUUGCGAGAACAAGCAGUCUUUUGUUAGAUAACAGGAGCCAGGUGCGAGAUAACGGUAUGGAGCAUGAGACCCAUCUUUUAGUUUUUGCAGCCAUUUUAGUGUUGUGCGGCUGCGGUUGCAUUCCAUGUAUCCGGUUCCUUACUGCUAGAGUUAUCUCCAGAGCUAUUGACCCUUCUUCCCUUCCCAGAUGUAUCCUCUGCUUGCUAAUGACCUGCCAGAGUUUGAGGAUGAGGUGGAGAAUACCCUUUAGAGAGUGUCACAUCUCUUUGGAGAUGUGAAGAGAGGGUAUCACAACUUUUUCCUGCUGGAAAAGGUUGGCUUAUGUGGACAAACAUUUUACUUAUAGCUUAGAGCUGUUGUUCUCCGCAAUUGUUAAAUGAGGGUUGUAAGUUCCUAGGUGGCUGGUAGCCAACUUAGUACAUAGUGGGAUUGAGUGGAGAACUUGGUGGUAAUACAUAUACAUCCAUUUCUUUUUAAUGUUGUGCCUUUUUAUAGCCCCUUUGGGAAAAGUUUUCUUUUGUAUCAGAAUCUAGUUAGGUUGUGUCAUGUCUCUGGGGAGACGUGAAGAGAGGGAUUUGUAGAGGACUGCUAAUUCCUAUGUAGGUGACAUUACAUUACUGCUAAUUCCUAUGUAGGUGACAUUACACUACUAUAGCUGAGACACAUAGUAAAACAGGUUGGGCCCCAUACAGGAUAUCUCUCACACACACACACUCACUGUAAUCAUCCAGAACACUGUCACAACAGGAUACUCCUAGCCACAGGUGCUAGCCGGCAGUUCGGCCACAACUCCCCUGAAGAUAGGGACGCAUACGCUCUUACACACUGACCCCAGAAGACAGGGACGACGCACAUACAGUACACACAUAGCUGCCGAGGACACCCAGAUAAGACACCCACAGAUUGGCAGAAAGCCUAGACUUAGAGACAAACUAACACACACACAUAAUCUCCCUCCCAGCCGAACAUUGUGUGACUGAAGAUAGCGCACACACCAGAUCUCCUUUUCAGCUGAACGGGGUGUGACGACCAAGAACAGGCAUGGCAGGAUUCUACGAUGACGGACAGACAACAGAGCCAAUGCCGGAUGACUUACACCCCAGCCUGAUCCAAUCCGAAGAUCCGAUCUCCUAGAUAUCAACCCACUUUCUGUUCUGUAUAUGAAGCUUGUACCCAUUGUUAGCUAGUGUCUUUUUUGCUAGUCUCUGAUGAGCUAACAGAGGGGCCCGUAUAUACGCUGUACCAGAUAUCUCCACUUUGAAAUAAACCUGUCGCUUGUCGUACAAUCUAC